ACAUUUUGUUCCCGCAAAAAAAAAUUUUUGGCUGGAAAUUGAAUAACAAGAGAUUUUAAAAGGGAUUUAAGAGGGUUUUAAAAUAUUUACAAAGGAUUUUAAAAGGGUUUUAAAUGAUUUACAAGGGAUUUUAAAAGGGUUUAAAAGAUUUAGAAAGGAUUUAAAGGGCUUUUAAAGAUUUACAAAGGUUUUUUAAAGAUUUAUAAAGGUUUUUUAAAGAUUUUGAAAGGGUUUAAAAUUGUCUUAAAAGAGUUUUAAAUUAUUUACAAGGGAUUUUAAAAGGUUGUAAAAGAUUUGCAAGAGAUUUUUAAAGGGUUUUAAAAUAUUUACAAGAGAUUUUAAAGGGGUUUAAAAGAUUUACAAUGGUUUUUUUAAAACUUUUUAAAGGAUUUAAUAGUGUUUUAAAAUACUUAUAAGAGAUUUUAAAAUGGUUUUAAAAGAUUUACAAGAGAUUUUGAAAGGGGUUAAAAGGGUUUUAAAAGAUGUACAAUGGUUUUUAAAAGAUUUUUAAAGAAUUUACAAGAAGACACCUUUUAAAAUUCGUGUAAAUAUUUUUAAAACCAUUUAAAA
rnacentral:sRNA from 1 species